UGACUUGUAACACAGCAAUAAAGUGUGUAGGGAAUUGGUUGCAGUGCAGUAUAUGUGGCAGUAAAUUCCACGUAGCUUUCUAAAUUUGGUGCCAUGCUUCUAUACCUUUUCACUAAAUGUGGAAUUGAUAUAGACGAUUUAUUUUAUGCUACAUAUUUUUAAGUACCUGGUCCAUAAUAUUUCUUGCUGAUGAUCCUGAAUUAUUUUUUUUUCCUUAUGCUGCUUUUUUGUCUAUGAUUUUAGGUAUUAUUCCCACAACAAUGAUUAUCUUGAAAUCUGCCGUUGCUAUGAGGCAAUAUAUGAGAUUCCAUUUGUCAAAGAAAACCCUGCCGAGUUUAUUCCUAUCCUGAGGAAAAUAUCUUGGUGCUUGGUUCUUGCUCCUCAUGAUCCGCUUCAAUCAAGUCUUCUGAAUUCAACCUUAGAGGAUAAGAAUCUAUUUGAGAUUCCAAACUUCAAGCUUCUCUUAAAGCAACUGGUCACCAUGGAAGUCAUCCAAUGGACGGCUCUUUGGGAGACAUACAAGGCCGAGUUUGAGAACGAGAUUGUCUCUAUAAAGUUUUUGAGUGAAAAAGCUGGGGAAGAUCUAAAACAAAGAAUUAUUGAACAUAAUAUUCUUGUUGUAUCAAAAUACUAUGCAAGAAUUACUUUGAAGAGACUUGCCCAACUUUUGUGUCUCAGCCAAGAGGUGUGUAAUGCAGUAAAAAUAUAUGUUGUAAACUUGCAACUGCCUAUUUCCCUCCUAUCUUAAUUAAUUUGUUUUUCAAAGGGAUUUUCCUAAUUAUUGCAUCUGCGUAAAGAAGUUUUCAAGUUGAAAUUAUUGAAAAACUACUUUAGACCA